UACCUUCCGCAUGCUUGGUAUUCUCCCCGCGGGGCUCUGACCGCUGCCGCUCUCAGGCACCUGUCUUUCCUCUCCGUCCCAGAAUGGAGCCAAGACAAGGGAAUAAACGAAAUUCAAUAGUACACGGAGAUCGGGUGUCUGGGCAGCGUCUUGGAAAAACUAUCCACUACAGGUCAAGUGAAGUUCUUCUGCUGAUAUGUUCUGCUACUGCAUAAGAGACGGAAUCUAUGUUGCCUCGACUGGUCCUGAACUCCUGGGCUAAAGCGAUCCUUCUGCCUUGGCCUCCCAAAGUGCGAGGAUUAUAGGUGUGAGCCACCCAACCUGGCCUUUGCCAGUAUUUUUAAAUCCAAACACCUAUGCAUGGUGCUUACUAAUAACACAGUGGUAUUCUAAACAUUUUUCACCUAUUAUUUAAUCUUUAUUAUUAUCACCAUGUUACAGAUAAGGACCCUGGCUAAAUAGCUUACCCAACAUUACUCCGUUAAUAAAUGGUAGAACCUGUAUUUCA
rnacentral:lncRNA from 1 species